rnacentral:ncRNA from 2 species
UAAAUAAGAGAUGAACAGACAAUGUAUCCUGGAUACAUGUAGUCGGGUCUUGUAAGGGGACAGUGGAGAUACGAUCCAUGGGACAAUU